rnacentral:rRNA from 1 species
AGUGGGGAAUAUUGGACAAUGGACCAAAAGUCUGAUCCAGCAAUUCUGUGUGCACGAUGAAGGUUUUCGGAUCGUAAAGUGCUUUCAGCAGGGAAGAAAAAAAUGACGGUACCUGCAGAAGAAGCGACGGCUAAAUACGUGCCAGCAGCCGCGGUAAUACGUAUGUCGCAAGCGUUAUCCGGAAUUAUUGGGCGUAAAGCGCGUCUAGGCGGCCAUUUAAGUCUGAUGUGAAAAUGCGGGGCUCAACUCCGUAUUGCGUUGGAAACUGGAUGGCUAGAGUAUCAGAGAGGUGGGCGGAACUACAAGUGUAGAGGUGAAAUUCGUAGAUAUUUGUAGGAAUGCCGAUUGGGAAGCCAGCUCACUGGAUGAAUACUGACGCUGAAGCGCGAAAGCGUGGGGAGCAAA